ACCUGGAUGGCUCAGUCGGUUAAGCAUCUGACUUGGGUUCAGGUCAUGAUCUCAUGGCUUGUGGGUUUGAGCCCCACGCCGGGCU
rnacentral:tRNA from 1 species